rnacentral:lncRNA from 1 species
CAUUAGUGUAGAGAGGGAAAGACAAAAAUGGUUAAAAAUAGUGGAAAGAUGUAGGAUAUUUUUAGAAGAGAAGAAAAUAAUGAAAAAGUGUAAAAUAAUUUUGAAAUAAAUUAAAAUAAUGGAGAAGUGCAUGACCCACUUGAAGAGUUGGAUGGAAGAACACCUUAGACCGGCACAUCCGACGAUAAAUAGGCCGCAAAAUCCAGCCCAUAAUUAACCCAAUUGUGUCAAGUGUGGGUAAAUGAACAAAGCUAGCAUUUAAAGGUAGAAUGAGUAGAUGUGAGGGCCGUCUGAAUGAGCAAACUUGUACUGCAAGAGUUGAAAAAGAAAAACACCCUUUAUAACAAUGAAACAAGAGUGUUUGGGUUAAAGCUUAUGGAAUAAUAUUAAAAAGCUCUAUCUAGAGUAUUUAAUCCUAUGCCGAGGAAAAAUAUCAUCUAAUAUCAAACGUCUUUGUAAUAUUAAACAUGAAAUUUAAAAGUAUGAUUCAUAUCAAAUAUUGCUGUCAAUUCAAUAUUUUUUUAGACUUCCAUAAAAAUAAAUAAAAUUACGCCACAUUGCUUUCAUAAUACUGAAACAAAAUUUAUUUGUUAUGUUAAACAUAAAUUAAGAAUAAAUUACAUGUUUCCAAUGAAUGUCAAAUUACACUCCACAAAUCAAAUAUUAAAAUAAUUUAAAAUAAAAUUGUCAAAUAAAUAAAAUACUUAUUAAUUCUAAACCUACUUAUAAGACCUAAGAGUGAUAAGGGGACAUUAAUUUUAAACUUACUUAUGUAAUAAUACCUUUUUAUUUAGAAACAAAAUUAAAACUUAUAGAGAGCUUAUGAACUACCAAAUACUUUACAAGGUAGAAACUAACUAUUAACUACUAAAUUAAUUUAUCAACUACCAAGUAGUUUAUUAACUAGUAAAGAAACUUAUUUAUUAAGAAUCAUUAGUUUAUCCUCAUGUUAAACAUACCCUUAAUACAAUAAAAUUAUAAAAGUAAAAACAUUAUAAUUGAAAAAAAAUAGAGAAUGAGAAAGAAACAAAGGGUCCAGCUACGACUUAUUUGUCCACAUAUCACCUAGAAAAAAAAUUCUCCAUUUUAUUUACUCACCCACCCAAGCCAAUUAUUGCUUCAAAGAAUUCAUCCACCUUCAAUCCCUUUCAUUACUAACAACCAUUUUCAAUCACCUUUUCUACCAUAAAUAAAUAAAAAUAAAAAUAAAAGUUAGAAACGAAAAAAAGUUCCCAAAUCAAACCACAGCUCACUUAAUAAUAAUAGUAAUAAUAAAUAUUAAUAAUAAUUAUAAUCCAUUCUCUCUCUUUCUCUAUCGAUGCAAAACUCACCAACGGUAGUCGCGGCUCCGCCGCCGCGUCCCGCCGGCCAAAUCACCGUCAUACCCUUCCCGCCGCCGCAUCCCUUCGACGGCGCCCCCAGCUCCAUAUUCCAGAUCACCGUCCUCC